AAGUAGAAGUAUGGAGGGUGAGGCCUGCCCAAUGGUUGUAUCUAAAAACGGUUGAUAAAAGUUGACUUCAUAAGGACAAUUGAAUGGCCGCGGUAACACUGACCGUGAUAAUGUAGCGUAAUCAAUAGCCAAUUAAUUGUUGGCCAGUAUGAAUGGCGUCACGAAGGCCCCACUGUCUUAAGAGAAUUCCCAGUGAAAUUGAAUUCGUAGUGAAGAUGCUACGUCCAAUUUGUUAGACGAAAAGACCCCAUUGAGCUUUACUGGAGUCUUACAUUGCUCGGAUCAACUCUCGCCCCCCCCUUGGCGGGGGGGUCGAAUUUAAAUGGAUAGCUUAGAUUAUGUGGUGUCAUAACCGUCGAUCAAGUAGUCCUUACAGGAUUGCCCCCCCGAAGGUUGACCUAUUUGGGUGAAUGAAACCCCACUCUUCUUUGUUAAAUGAGCUAACCCUUUCUCCCUUAAAGGGGACAAUGUAAGUUGGACAGUUUGGUUGGGGCGACCGCCUUUUAAAGAGUAACGAAGGUGUGCUUAAGGUACAUUAUUAAUAACACAAGCCUGACUGCGAGGGGGACCCUCCGAGCAGACACCUAAAGUCUUCUCCCUUCCCCCCGAAGGUUAAAGACGAAUGGUGGGUUAUAGUGACCCGUUAAUUUAGAGUGGAAUAGUUAACGAUCAACGAAUAAAAGUUACCAUGGGGAUAACAGCGUAAUAUCGUUAGAGAGUUUACAUCGACGACGAUGUUUGCGACCUCGA
rnacentral:rRNA from 1 species